UACGUAGGGUGCGAGCGUUGUCCGGAAUUAUUGGGCGUAAAGGGCUCGUAGGCGGUCUGUCACGUCGGGAGUGAAAACUCGGGGCUUAACUCCGAGCCUGCUUCUGAUACGGGCAGACUAGAGGUAUGCAGGGGAGAAUGGAAUUCCUGGUGUAGCGGUGAAAUGCGCAGAUAUCAGGAAGAACACCAGUGGCGAAGGCGGCUCACUGGUCCGGUACUGACGCUGAGGUGCGAAAGCGUGGGGGAGCAAACAGG
rnacentral:rRNA from 1 species